UUCAAGGAACUUACUAUCUCAUUUGCAAACAUAUAUAUCAACAAUUGUAAUAAUUUUAUAUGACCAAAAAUCUCUUUUUCAUUUAUAUAAUUGUAAGGAUUACACUAAGUACAAUUUCAGAAACCAAAUGAAAAAUACAAGAGAAAAGGAGACUAGUCAUCCUAAGGAUCCCUAACAACGUUAGAAUAUCUGGCUGAAGGCGCG
rnacentral:lncRNA from 1 species